GCCGUUGGCUUCUGCCUGCUGGCGGCAGCCUGUCUCGUGGUGACCAACCUGAGAAGCGACUUAGAACUCUUCCUUCUGCUGCGCCGCCUUUCUGUCUUCCUCCUCGCGGCUUCAGCAACUUCUGUCUUGAUCGGGAUGGCUGUGUUUCUGAAGAAGUCUUCAGGUCUCGCUCGCUACCCGCUGCGCAGCACCUUUGUUGGUCGUCUGGAGUGGCCCAUCGCAUUCUCCAUCGUGUCGGCCUGUCUGACGGUCUUCGUGGCCGUCAUCAUCGGCGACAAGCUUCGCCGGCAACACCAGGAGGACCUCACUGUCCGCCCAGUGCCGUAGUGGUGUCAACCUCGCAUGCAACACAUUCUCAAACAACGAUGGGAUCAUUCUGCCAUGGAUUGUUUGUGCUUGAGCAUCAACAGCCUCUUCAAGACAUAUGAUGACUAAAAGCGUGAGCUCGGCUGCGAGCUUUUGUGCCGAAAUCUCAAACUAUCUUGUACAGUCAAUGAUGACAAGUGUCACAAAUGUUGUCCGUUUAUGAUAGAUAAGAACUCCGUCUCUGAAGUGCAUUCACAGAGCUGGUGUACGAGAAGAGACUUGUGAAGUUGCCGACGAUUUUGUUUUUGGUUAUAUUUGCUUCUAAGGAAAUCAGUAAUUACUCUUUACCGUCGUUCAUUGCUGUAUCAUGUCACAUAUCUAAUUCGUCAAAACAAUAACAAAUGAUCAUGUCAUUAAGUUGUUACUGUUGUGACAUUUCAUGUCACUAAUUCUGCCUGGAUUUGGAUUUGGCAUGUUAAUCAGACUUUAACCAGGAUUCCUGCUCAUAGCACCGAUAUAACUCCUAUACUAUCGACCUGCUUUGUAUGUACUACCGACAUAUUAAGAGCGUUUAGCCGAAUUAACCCCUGUAACCUGAUAUUAACCUGAUAUUAACCUGAUAUUAACCUGAUAGUCUGUGUCGUCAUCAUCUUUAUUUUUAACGCUGUUGCUGCUUACCUACAAUUCUUCUGGGUUUUUUUUUAAGUACUGCUCUUUUCGCGUUUCGUUUCUGAAUGCUUCUGUAUAUUUUACAUCAAGUAACAAAAUUCAUACAAGCCACACGAAUCUGAUUUUGAUAGGAAAUUGAAUGAUUUCGUGUCCAGUUUGGAGCUUUCUCCGCCUAAAGAGACUUUUCGCAGUUCUUUCUAGUUUUAUCAAGUGGAUUUGCACCCUCAUGAGCUCAUUAGUGCAAGCACUUGCACUGGGCGCUCUCUGUUUCACACACACACACGUAUUACACACGCACGCACAAACACACACACAGCAGAAGAUAGAGAGAGAGAGAGGUUCAUGAAAAACACAAGAUAGAAGAAGGGAGAAAAAUGGAUUGGUGAGUGAAUGUACAAGAAAUUGUCAGAAAAUGGCGAACUUGCUUAUGACCCACUACCUACUGUUUUCAUUAUGCUUGCAAAAGUUUUGAAAUAAACAUUUCAUAUUUUCUACCUUCA
rnacentral:lncRNA from 1 species